rnacentral:rRNA from 1 species
UUCCGGUUGAUCCUGCCGGACCCCACUGCUAUCGGGAUGAGACUAAGACAUGCUAGUCGUGCACCUCCAGGCCACGGUGGAGGCGCGGCGCACAGCUCAGUAACACGUGGCUAACCUACCCUUGGGACGGAAAUAACCCCGGGAAACUGGGGCUAAUUUCCGAUAGGUGAAGAUUCCUGGAAUGGAUCUUCGCCGAAAAGGCGUCUAGACCAUGCUUCUAGGCGCUGCCCAAGGAUGGGGCCGCGGCCGAUCAGGUUGUUGGUGAGGUAACGGCUCACCAAGCCUAUAACCGGUACGGGCCGUGGGAGCGGUAGCCCGGAGAUGGGCACUGAGACAAGGGCCCAGGCCCUACGGGGCGCAGCAGUCGCGAAACCUCCGCAAUACGCGAAAGCGUGACGGGGUCAUCCCGAGUGCCGUCCGCUGAGGAUGGCUUUUCCCCAGUGUAGACAGCUGGGGGAAUAAGGAGAGGGCAAGUCGGGUGUCAGCCGCCGCGGUAAUACCCGCUCUCCGAGUGGUGGGGACGCUUAUUGGGCCUAAAGCAUCCGUAGCCGGCUGGACAAGUCCCCUGUUAAAUCCAGCGAUUUAAUUCGUUGGACUGCGGGGGAUACUGUCCGGCUAGGGGGGCGGGAGAAGGCCGACGGUAUUUUCCGGGGUAGGGGUUGAAA